AGCGAACGCUGGCGGCAGGCUUAACACAUGCAAGUCGAGCGCCGUAGCAAUACGGAGCGGCAGACGGGUGAGUAACGCGUGGGAACAUGCCCUUUGGUUUGGAAUAACUCAGGGAAACUUGAGCUAAUACCGGAUAAGCCCCGUGAGGGGGAAAGAUUUAUCGCCGAAGGAUUGGCCCGCGUCCGAUUAGCUAGUUGGUGUGGUAAUGGCGCACCAAGGCGACGAUCGGUAGCUGGUCUGAGAGGAUGAUCAGCCACACUGGGACUGAGACACGGCCCAGACUCCUACGGGAGGCAGCAGUGGGGAAUAUUGGACAAUGGGCGCAAGCCUGAUCCAGCCAUGCCGCGUGAGUGAUGAAGGCCCUAGGGUUGUAAAGCUCUUUCGGCGGGGACGAUAAUGACGGUACCCGCAGAAGAAGCCCCGGCUAACUUCGUGCCAGCCGCCGCCGUAAUAC
rnacentral:rRNA from 1 species